GUACGCGAGCUGGGUUUAGAACGUCGUGAGACAGUUCGGUCCCUAUCUGCCGUGGACGUUUGAGAUUUGAGAGGGGCUGCUCCUAGUACGAGAGGACCGGAGUGGACGAACCUCUGGUGUUCCGGUUGUCACGCCAGUGGCAUUGCCGGGUAGCUAUGUUCGGAAGAGAUAACCGCUGAAAGCAUCUAAGCGGGAAACUUGCCUCAAGAUGAGAUCUCACUGGAGCCUUGAGCUCCCUGAAGGGCCGUCGAAGACUACGACGUUGAUAGGCAGGGUGUGUAAGCGCUGUGAGGCGUUGAGCUAACC
rnacentral:rRNA from 1 species